rnacentral:rRNA from 1 species
GUAGUCUGCAACUCGACUACAUGAAGCUGGAAUCGCUAGUAAUCGCGAAUCAGAAUGUCGCGGUGAAUACGUUCCCGGGUCUUGUACACACCGCCCGUCACACCAUGGGAGUCAGUAACGCCCGAAGUCAGUGACCCAACCGGAACCGGAGGGAGCUGCCGAAGGUGGGACCGAUAACUGGGGUGAAGUCGUAACAAGGUAAC